GUGCCACUUGAUACCAUUGAGCUUUCCAUGGUUUUGUCCAGCUGAAUAGAACAUCCCAUUGAGAUUGGAGGGGCCACAGGCAUCGAACCACCAUCCUCCUGUUAACAUGAGAGCACAUUUACACAUGCAGUUGUCAUUGUCAGCAUCUUUUGUACUGAACUCAGCACCAUGCAGGAUCAGGCUACUCUGUUUUCCAGCUGUUCCACUGUGACCUUUUAAAUAAAGCCUGUAAUUUUGCUUUUCAUUUCCUAUGUGAAACCUGUCAUACUGUGAAUAAGCCCGGUUUCCUUCCCAGUCCAUUAAUUCAAUUCUUAGAGAAUAUUGCCUCUGACUUGUAAUUGCAAAGAUGAAUUCAUUUCCCAGCCAGUGUUCACCUGAUGGGCUACCAAAACCCAUUUUGUAUUCUUUCCAGCCUUUCUGGAAAUCUAGGCUGCCAUCUUCUCGGUGCUGUAUAAC
rnacentral:lncRNA from 1 species